rnacentral:rRNA from 1 species
ACAUAACUGAUGCCUCCGCGUAUCGACUUUGUGCGCAUUUUAGCUAUUAUGUGUUCUUUUAAUUAAAAUGAUUCUUUUUAAGAUUCAUCUAUUAAAAAUUUGCUUCGGCAUAAUUUUUUUUGAUGAUCUUGUUACUUUGAGUAAAUUAGAGUGUUCAAAGCAAACAGAUAUAGCAUUUGUGCGUUUGAAUACUACAGCAUGGAAUAACAAAAUUGAACAAGUCAGAAUUUUUUUGUUCUUUUUUCUUAUUUUGGCUUAGUUACGAUUAAUAGGAGUAGCUUGGGGGCAUUUGUAUUCAGAUGUCAGAGGUGAAAUUCUUAGAUUUUCUGGAGACAAACAACUGCGAAAGCAUUUGCCUAAAAUACUUCCAUUAAUCAAGAACGAAAGUUAAGGGAGUGAAGACGAUCAGAUACCGUCGUAAUCUUAACCAUAAACUAUGCCGACUAGGCUUUGGAUGAAAGAUUUUAAAAUAAGAGUUUUUCUUUUCUCUCCGGAGAUUAGAACUCUUAGAUUGCUUCCUUCAGUGCCUUAUGAGAAAUCAAAGUCUUUGGGUUCUGGGGCGAGUAUUCGCGCAAGCGAGAAAGUUAAAAGAAUUGACGGAAGGGCACCACCAGGCGUGGAGCUUGCGGCUUAAUUUGACUCAACACGGGAAAACUCACUAGUUUAAGACAAGAGUAGGAUUGACAGAUUAAUAGCUCUUUCUUGAUUUCUUGGAUGGUGAUGCAUGGCCGUUUUCAGUUCGUGAAUAUGAUUUGUCUGGUUAAUUCCGAUAACGAACGAGAUCUUAACCUGCUAAUUAGCGGCAAAUACGAUAUAUUCUUAUGUAGAAUUGAAUAUAGUGGAUUUGUUGGAUUUUGAAGAAAAUAUUGGAAUUACGUUUAAAUGUGAUUCCUUUCCCUUUUCUACUUAAUUUACAUUUCCAUCUAUUUCUUUUUUGCGUAUGAAUGUAUUUGCCUGAUUGUAAAGCUUCUUAGAGGAACGAUGUGUG